rnacentral:rRNA from 1 species
AUCUUGACAUCCAAUUGACCAUCUUUUAAUCGAGAUUUUGCCUUCGGGUACAAGUUGAGACAGGUGGUGCAUGGUUGUCGUCAGCUCGUGUCGUGAGAUGUUGGGUUAAGUCCCGCAACGAGCGCAACCCUUGUGUUUAGUUGCAAACAGGUCAAGCUGUGCACUCUAGACAGACUGCCGUGGACAACACGGAGGAAGGUGGGGAUGACGUCAAAUCAUCAUGCCCCUUAUGAUCUGGGCUACACACGUGCUACAAUGGCCGGUACAACGGGCAGCGAAGGAGCGAUCCGGAGCGAAUCCUAAAAAGCCGGUCCCAGCUCGGAUUGCAGGCUGAAACUCGCCUACAUGAAGUUGGAGUUGCUAGUAAUCGCGAAUCAGAAUGUCGCGGUGAAUGCGUUCCCGGGUCUU